CCGCCGGCGACCGGCGCACGGGUGAGUAACACGUAUGCAACCUGGCCGUGACAGAUGGAUAACCGGGAGAAAUCCCGCCUAAUACAACAUAAUGCCGGGAGGGGGACAUCCCCUGCCGGUCAAAGGGGGCGACCCCGGUCAUGGAUGGGCAUGCGGCGCAUUAGGUAGUUGGUGGGGCAACGGCCCACCAAGCCGACGAUGCGUAGGGGUUCUGAGAGGAAGGUCCCCCACAUUGGAACUGAGACACGGUCCAAACUCCUACGGAAGGCAGCAG
rnacentral:rRNA from 1 species